UGUGGAAAUCAGGUUUUUUCAGUGAACGGAUUGCGUUUGAUCUGCGCGUUCAAAUUGUAAUAUUAUAGUCAGAAGUUUUAGGCCUAACAAGACCAUUGAAAGUGUAUUCGUCACAAUGGCUUGGAUACAGUUUUGCCUCAUUGCAUUUCUACUUCCAUGGAUCGACUCUAAUUCAGACAUGUAUGCGUGCCAUAAACGAUACAAGUUCUUCUGUAACACGUCGCGGGAGUACAUCCACAAGUUUUCUUUAUGUAACGGAUAUAUAGGGGAUAUUAUGAUAGGACGCUUUUCUGGUGACCUGUAUCACGUCGAGUUCGGUGUGUAAACACGUAUCCAACGGGACCGCAGGUCGGGACGGAUACAUGUUUACUCAAAAAGUGACAAAAAUCAAUGCUGUUAUUAACAGUCUACACACCGAAUUCUUACUAUUGAAGCGACUGUGUCGCUGAUUAAAACUUUUUAAACUUCAACCGCCAAAUUAAUGGACACACUAAUGAGUGAAUACUAAUGACGUCACUCAGUUAUGACAUUGAUCUUAUUAAUGAUUUACUUGAUUUAAAUAUAUUUGAAUAUGUAGUUUUGUUGUUUAUAAGUGGAACCUUUGUAAAUCAGUUGAUAAUUGAGUCAUGUUUCAAGUUUUGUUUUAUUGUAAUUAAAAAGGUUUUUUUAUGUCGGACUACAUGUAUUUCCUUUCUUGUGAAUAUACAUCCUAAUAGCACACAAAGAUAAAUAUUUGCGCAAGGACACGAGAAUAUGUAUUGAAUAAACUUUGACCUAGAGUUCGACUGUAAAUGCGGUUUGUUAUAAAAACAAUAUAAAAUGAGUUUUUAUUUUGUAUCAAACUUGUCAUUUAAAAACGAUAAAAACUCGAAAGAGCCUCGUUUUUAUAGUUUUGAAAUGUUAUUUUUUAAUGAACUCGAUACAAAAUAAACACUCAUUUGAUACCCUAUAUGUAUAGUUUAUCCUAAACUGGUAGUAGUUUUUAAAUAUUGAAAUGGAAAAUCAAAUUAUUAAUCAUGUGUUCCUAUUUUACGCAUACGUUUUUUGCUUUAAAUAUUUGCUUCUUUACGAAUGUGUUCACUGAAUACAGAGCUUAAUUCAAUUUUUGUUUCAAUCAA